UUAGUUAGCAAAGUGUCUGCUUAGCAUGCAUCAAGUAUGGGAUCUGAUCCUCAGGGCUGGAGAGAUGGCUCAGCCGUUAAAGGCUAGGCUCACAACCAAAAGAU
rnacentral:miRNA from 1 species